rnacentral:rRNA from 1 species
GUGACAGGUGGUGCAUGGUUGUCGUCAGCUCGUGUCGUGAGAUGUUGGGUUAAGUCCCGCAACGAGCGCAACCCUUAAGCUUAGUUGCCAUCAUUAAGUUGGGCACUCUAAGUUGACUGCCGGUGACAAACCGGAGGAAGGUGGGGAUGACGUCAAAUCAUCAUGCCCCUUAUGAUUUGGGCUACACACGUGCUACAAUGGACAAUACAAAGGGCAGCGAAACCGCGAGGUCAAGCAAAUCCCAUAAAGUUGUUCUCAGUUCGGAUUGUAGUCUGCAACUCGACUACAUGAAGCUGGAAUCGCUAGUAAUCGUAGAUCAG